rnacentral:rRNA from 1 species
UGGGGAAUAUUGCACAAUGGGGGAAACCCUGAUGCAGCGACGCCGCGUGAGCGAAGAAGUAUCUCGGUAUGUAAAGCUCUAUCAGCAGGGAAGAAGAUGACGGUACCUGACUAAGAAGCACCGGCUAAAUACGUGCCAGCAGCCGCGGUAAUACGUAUGGUGCAAGCGUUAUCCGGAUUUACUGGGUGUAAAGGGAGCGUAGACGGAGAAGCAAGUCUGGAGUGAAAGCCCGGGGCUCAACCCCGGGACUGCUUUGGAAACUGUUACUCUUGAGUGCCGGAGAGGUAAGCGGAAUUCCUAGUGUAGCGGUGAAAUGCGUAGAUAUUAGGAGGAACACCAGUGGCGAAGGCGGCUUACUGGACGGUAACUGACGUUGAGGCUCGAAAGCGUGGGGAGCAAACA